GGUUCCGUAGCUUAGUUGGUUAUAGCGUGUGGCUGUUAACCACAAGGUCGUAGGUUCGACCCCUACCGGGACCGA
rnacentral:tRNA from 1 species